GUUACAGGUAAAAUAGUACCCUGCCACGGUACAGACCCGGGUUCGAUUCCCGG
rnacentral:tRNA from 1 species